AUGUAUAAUAUUAGCGUCCACUAAUCCAUGUUCAUUUUUCCAUUAUUAUAUUCCUUUAGUUUAAUUUGCUUCAUCUGAGAUGGUUCGUGAAGGGGAGGCCACCACGAUCGAGAGUGGCGGUGGCGAUGGCCGGCGGCCCGGUUCAGCGGCUCAUUAAUAAAUGUCAGAUGACUCCGAUGGUCCUCUCCGACUGUCUUUUCUUAUCGUCAAAGCCAAAAGUAAGAAGAUGGAAGUUGGAAUGAGCAAUAAUAAGCUUCCCUUCAAGAAAAAUGGAUGGGAAUCACUUUAAAAUACUUUAAUAAGCAAAUGAUUGCCAAGGAGAAUACCAACACCUGCUCAUGACAUCAUAUACCUAAAGGAGAAGGUUUGAGACAUUAAAGACGACAGCUCAGUUGAUCUAAAUAUGUCAUACCUUGUCUCAUUUGUAAGAUUUUUAGAGAACCUAUACAUUUAUUAGGAAUAUUGUUGUGAAAAGAACUUGUUAGGAUUGGUCCCGACCUCAAGAUUGAAGUAAUAGGGAAUGUGUUUUUUUUUUUUGUUGUGAUUGAAGUGAUAGGGAAUAACUAUAUUUUGUGUUUCACAUUUGAUAUUGACUAAGGAAUUUUUGUUCUUUAU